GACGAACGCUGGCGGCGUGCUUAACACAUGCAAGUCGAACGGAAAGGCCUCAGCUUGCUGGGGUCCUCGAGUGGCGAACGGGUGAGUAACACGUGGGUGAUCUGCCUUGCACUCUGGGAUAAGCUUGGGAAACUGGGUCUAAUACCGGAUAUGAACUGCCUUUAGUGUGGUGGUUGGAAAGUUUUUUCGGUGCAAGAUGAGCUCGCGGCCUAUCAGCUUGUUGGUGGGGUAAUGGCCUACCAAGGCGUCGACGGGUAGCCGGCCUGAGAGGGUGUACGGCCACAUUGGGACUGAGAUACGGCCCAGACUCCUACGGGAGGCAGCAGUGGGGAAUAUUGCACAAUGGGCGGAAGCCUGAUGCAGCGACGCCGCGUGGGGGAUGACGGCCUUCGGGUUGUAAACUCCUUUCGACAGGGACGAAGCUUUUUGUGACGGUACCUGUAUAAGAAGCACCGGCUAACUACGUG
rnacentral:rRNA from 1 species